CAGUCGCCGGUAAUACGAAGGGGGCUAGCGUUGUUCGGAAUUACUGGGCGUAAAGCGCACGUAGGCGGAUAUUUAAGUCAGGGGUGAAAUCCCGCAGCUCAACUGCGGAACUGCCUUUGAUACUGGGUAUCUUGAGUAUGGAAGAGGUUAGUGGAAUUGCGAGUGUAGAGGUGAAAUUCGUAGAUAUUCGCAGGAACACCAGUGGCGAAGGCGGCUAACUGGUCCAUAACUGACGCUGAGGUGCGAAAGCGUGGGGAGCAAACAGGAUUAGAUACCCGCGUAGUCCCUGUCUCUUAUACAC
rnacentral:rRNA from 1 species